rnacentral:rRNA from 2 species
UACGGAGGGUGCAAGCGUUGCUCGGAAUUAUUGGGCGUAAAGCGUAUGUAGGCGGUUUUCUAAGUCUGAUGUGAAAUCCCGGGGCUCAACCCCGGAACUGCAUUGGAUACUGGAAAGCUAGAGGACGAUAGAGGAUGGUGGAAUUCCAGGUGUAGGGGUGAAAUCCGUAGAUAUCUGGAGGAACAUCAGUGGCGAAGGCGGCCAUCUGGAUCGUACCUGACGCUGAGAUACGAAAGCGUGGGGAGCAAACAGG